UGUAUAGUCUAUCAUCACUUUUUUGAAAUCUUCAACAUCCCAUAUUCUGCUACGUUUUUUCGGAAGCUUUUGCAUUUUCACCACAUAUCUACCCAUAUCUCUAAUCAAAUCAUGCAUUUCAAUCAUAUUAUUUUCAGAGAUGAACACAAGAGAUUUAUUAAUCAGAACAUUCAAUCCGUAUUCAGCUCCAAAGUCACAACUCUCAAGAAUUUGCAUGACUUCUUUUCUUUUUUUUCCACGGAAUAAACAUGCAAUAUCUAGAAAUAUCUCUUGCUCUUCGAGCUCCAACCCAUCAUAACUUAUUUUGAGUUUUUUAACAAUUUCUGAAUUAGAGUUUUUCUUUAUCUGCUCUACAGUUUUUCUCCACAAAGUUAGACACUUUUUAUGCAAUAAAGAACCCCACACCUUGAGGGCUAAAGGAAGGCCUUUAGCGUGAUUUACUACCUCCAAUGAGAACUUCUUAAAACUCUCAUCUGGAUCUUCUUUUUUAAAAGCAUGCUUAUUGAAUAAUUGCAUAGCUUCAUGAUCAGGUAGUGUAGACACUUCGUAUAUCGCAUCAUCCUUCUCUAUCAAAUGUUUGUUUCUAGUUGUUAUAAUGACUCUGCUGCCAUUACCAAACCAACCAACAUCACCUGCUAAAUACUCCAAAUGCUCACUGUGAUCUAUAUCAUCAAGCACAAUUAGCACCUUCAUAGAACAAAGUAUGUUCGGAAUCAUGCGCUUCCCAUCAUACUUAUUAUUGACGUAACCUUUUUUUUCUCUUAAAAGUUCAGAGAGAAGGGUAUUUUGUAAAGAAUGCAGUUUAUUCUUUUUUGCAUUUUCUUUAACAUCUGCAAGAAAACAGGAAGCUUUAAAUUGAUAAGAUAUAGCAUCAAAAAUAGCUUUUGCUAUUGUUGUUUUACCGACUCCGCCUAUUCCCCAGAUCCCUAAAAUCCGAACAUCGUUGAUUUCCAUUUGAAGUUUGGAUUUUAGUUUCUCUAAGUGAUCGUUUAUUCCCACAACAUCUUGCAAAAAAGAUAAAGAAUAAGCAUUUGUGCGAAACUUGGAAGAGAUGCAGUCUACGAUCUGUUGAAUAUUCUCUGAUUCAAUCCUACAUAAAGAAGAAGAUUGAUAGUUUAGGAGGACUUUUAUGUAUCCUCUCUAAUUAAAUUGAUAGAACUAUGCCUUCUUAACAAUAAAAAUGUAUAUACACUACCAUCUAAAUAAUAAUCAAUGAAAUUAUGAAUGGAAAUUAUUCCAUUUUUUCAUUAAAAGUAAUUAUGUGUAUUCAACUAACCCGUCACGGAUAUCAUAUCCUUUUAGAUUUGCGGCAACAGUUAGGGCAUUUCUCCAUCUUUGCACCUUUUGCAUCCCCUCAACAUCAUCCUUAUACUUUAAUUCAUGUUCGGCAAAUGCUGCUCCAAAGCUUUCACUUUGGUUUCGAACAUGUGAUGGAUCCACAUCAUAGAAGAUUGGUAUGACUGUUUGUCCAUUUUCUUCAUCUUUGCAUUCCAUGAUCUUCACUAGUUCAUUCAAGCACCACCUAGAUGUAGCAUAAUUCUUUGAGAAGACAAUAAGUGCAACUUGAGACUCUUCGAUAGCUCUCAAGAGUUCUUUCGGAAUUGAAUCUCCAUGCUCUAGCCUUUUAUCAUCUUGAAAG
rnacentral:lncRNA from 1 species